rnacentral:rRNA from 1 species
ACAAGCGGAGGAACAUGUGGUUUAAUUCGAUGAUACGCGAGGAACCUUACCUGGGCUUAAAUGUAGAGUGCAUUUUUAGAGAUAGAAACUUCCCUUCGGGGCUUUCUGCAAGGUGCUGCAUGGUUGUCGUCAGCUCGUGCCGUGAGGUGUCGGGUUAAGUCCCAUAACGAGCGCAACCCUUAUCGUUAGUUGCCAUCUGGUAAUGCAGGGGACUCUAGCGAAACUGCCACCGUAAGGUGAGAGGAAGGUGGGGAUGACGUCAAAUCAUCAUGCCCCUUAUGUUCUGGGCUACACACGUGCUACAAUGGCCAGUACAAUAGGUUGCAAGACCGCGAGGUGGAGCCAAUCCUAAAAGCUGGUCUCAGUUCGGAUUGCAGGCUGCAACUCGCCUGCAUGAAGUCGGAGUUGCUAGUAACCGCGCGUCAGCUAUAGUGCGGUGAAUACGUUCCCGGGCCUU